AACUACCAAACAUAAAUAACAAGUUCCCUUGCUUCAAGUUAUUAGCUUGUGAAAAUAACAGACCGUCAACUGAGAAGACCACAGUCCUCAUUAGUGAAGACAACAAUCCUGCCUACGGAGACAACCGCUGAUUUGUUCAGUAAAAAUUCAUCAAGAAGACACUGCUCUCAUAACUACAAAUCCCCCUUUACCAAAAUGGACAUCCUGGUAAGAAUUAUUUUUUUUUAGAAAUGUAU
rnacentral:misc_RNA from 1 species